GAUAAGUGAGUGACAGCACAUUCAAUGCUGAAAAUUUUUACUUUAUUUUAUUUAGAGAUACAGGAAGGAACAGGCCUUUCUGGCUCACUGAGCAGUGCCACUAAGCAAUCCACCGAUUUGCACAGUUUGUUGUCUUUUGCAUACUGAUUUUAUAUCCAGUCAGUGCAGUCUUUCAUUGAUUCUAUUAUGGUUAUUGGAUUCAUUAAAUAUGCUCACAAGAAAAUGAAUCUCAGGGUUGAAUAUAGUGACAUAUAUGUACUUUGAUAAUAAAUUUACUUUGAACCUUAAACCUUGUGAGGUCAUACCUAAGCAAGGACCUGAACCCACUGUAAUUUGCCUAUUACCAGAAUAGGUCUACAGCAGAUGCAGUCUCACUCUGACUUCGAUCCCUGAACAAUAGCAAAACCUACAUCAAGCUGCUAUUUAUUGGUUACAACUCAGCAUUCAACAUCAUCAAAUCCUCUGUACUAAUCAAAAAGCUCCAAAACCUGGGUCACUGUACCUGCCUCUGGAUCCUUGACCCUCUCAUUGGGAGACCACAGACAGUGCAGUUCACAAAUAACAUCUCCUCUUCAACAGUGCUUAGCCCACUGCUCUCCUUUCUCUACACCUACAACUGUAUGGUUAGGCAAAGUUCAAACCCCAUCUAUAAAUUUGCCCAAUGAUUUGCUCAAUUUCAGAUGGUCAAAGAGGUGUAAAGGAUCAGCUGUUGAGUGGUGGUGUCACAACAACCUUUUACACAAUGCAAGACCAAGGAAUUGAUUGUGGACUUAAGCAUGGGGAAGUCAAAGGAACAUAUACCAGUUCUCAUUGAGGUAUCAGCAGUUAGAAAGAAUGAGCAGUUUCAAAUUCCUGGGUAAUCAACAUCUCUGAAGAUCUAUUCUGGGCCCAACAUAUUGAUGGAAUUACAAGUAAGGCAUGGCAGCAGCUAUAUUUCAUUAGCAGUUUGAGGAGAAUUGGUAUGUCAUCAAAGCCAUUUGCAAAUUUCCAGAAACGUACCAUGGAAAACGUGUUAUUAUGUGUGUACAUAAUAAAGAACAUCAGUUCCCUGUGUGCAAUGCAGGCAGUUCUCCAGAAACCAGAUGUGACAUUGGGGAUUUAGUCUUAUAUACUCAGGUUCUAGUCCUCUUGAAAUAAAUGCUAACAGUACCUUCUUUACCACUGACUCAACCUGCAAGUUAACCCUUAGGGAAUCCUGUUCAAGAAACCCCAAGUCCCAUUGCACCUCUUAUUUUUGAAUUUUCUCCCCAUUUAUAAAAUAUUCCACACCUUUAUCAUUUCUGCCACAGCACAUGACCAUGCACUUGCCUACACUAUAUUCUAUCUGCCGCUUCUUUGUCCAUUUCCACAAACUUUCUAAGUCUUUCUGCAGAUACACUGAUUCCUCAACACUACCUUCCCCUCCACCUAUCUUGGUAUCAUCCACAAACUUGGACACAAAACCAUCAAUUUCUACAUCCAAUUUCAUAAAAAGAAGCAGUCCCAACACCAACCACUGUAUCACACCAUGAGUCACCGACAGCCAACCAUAAAAGGCCCCCUUUGUUCACACAUUUUGCCUCUGUCAGUCAGCCAAUCUUCUAUUCAUGCUAGUCCCUUCCCUGUAAUAUCAUGGGCUCUUAUCUGGCUUAGCAUGCUCACAUGUAGAACCUUGUCAAAGGCCUUUUGAAAAUUCAAGCAAACGUCAGCCACUGACUCUCCUUUGUCUGUCCUGCCUAUUAUUUCCUCAAAAACUUCCAACGAAUUUGUCAGGCAAGUUUUCCCAUUGAGGAAACCAUGCUGACUUUGGCCUAUUUUAUCACGUGACAAGUACCCGAAACUUCAUCUUUAAUAAUAGACUCCAACACUUACCCAACCACUAAGACCAGGCUAACUGGUUUCUAGUUUCCUUUCUUCUGCUUCCCACCCAUCUUAAAGAGUGGAGUAACAGUUGCCAUUUCCUGGUCGUCAGGAACCAUUCCAGAACUUAGUGAUGCCUAAAAGAUCAUAACUAAUGCUUCCAUAUUCUUUUCAGUUACCACUUUCAGAACAGAGGAGCAUAAGUCCAUUUGGUUCAGAUGGCUUAUCUACCUUCAAACCUUUUGGCUUCCCAAGUACCUUCUCCUUAGUAAUAGCAACUACACUCAUUUCCAUUUCCUAACACUCUCAAAUUUCUGGCAUUAUUAUUAGUGUCUUCCACAAUGAAGACAGAUACAAAAUACUUAAGUUUGUUUGCCAUUUCAUUGUCCCCCAUUACUACCUCUCCAGCACCAUUUUCCAGCAGUCUACUAUUCACUCUCAUCUCUCUUUCACUCUUUAUAUAUUUGAAAAUAACUUUUUGUAUCCUCUUUUAUACCUUCAUAUUUCAUCUUUUCUCUCCUUAUUGCUUUUUAGUUGCCUUCUGUUGGUUUGAGAAAGCUUUCCAAUCCUGUAAUUUUGCACUAAAUAUUGCAGUAUUAUAUGCCUUCUCUUGCUUUAAUGCUUUCUUUGACUCCCCUUGUCUGCCAUGGUUACCUCAUCCUCUCUUUAGAAUACUCCUUCAAUUUUGGUAUGUAUUUUUCCUACCCCUUCCGAAUUGACCCCAGGAACACUAGCCAUUUCUGUCCUGCUGUCACCUCUUCUAGUGUCCCCUACCGAUCAACUUUGGCCAGCUCCUCUCUCAUGCCUCUGUAAUUCCCUUUACACUGUAAUUCUGAUACAUUCAACUUUAGCUUCUACUUCUCACAUUGCAGGACAAAUUAUGUCACAUUUUGAUCACUAACCAAGGGUUCCUUUACCUACAUUCCCUAAUCAAAUCUGGGUCAUUACAUAACACCCAAUCCAGGAUUUCCUUUCACCUAGUGGUCUCAACCACAAGCUAGUCUGGAAAGCAAUCUCAUUGGCAUUCUAAAACUUUCUUCUCUUGGGAUCCAGCACCAUCCUGAUUUUCCCCAUCUGCCUGCAUAUUGAAAUCCCCCAUGAUUAUCGCAACAUUGCAUGUUUUACAUGCCUUCUCUAUUUCCCAAUAUAAUUUGGAUCUCACAUCCUGACUACUGCUCUUGAGGUCUGUAUAUAAAUCCCAUCAGGGUCUUUUUAUCCUCACAGUUUCUUAACUCUACCCACAACAAUUCUACAUCUUCUGAUCCAAUGUCACCUCUUCCUAGAAAUUUGAUUUCAUUUUUUAACCAACAGAGCCACCCCACUGAUUCUGCCUAUCUGCCUGUCCUUUCAAUAUAAUGUGUAUCCUUGGAUUUUAAGUUCCCAGCUAUGAUCUUCUUUCAGCCAUGGCUCAAUGACACCCACAACAUCAUACCUGCCAAUUCCAGAUAGAAAAGAGUUACCAGGAUUUACCCAUACUUGGGGGCCUGAGACACAAGGAGAGAUUGUAUAGAUUUGGGGUUUUAUUCCCUGGCAGGUAGUAGAUGGAAUGGUGACCUAAUAGGAGAUCAUGAAGAAGACAGACAUGCUGGAAGUGCACAGGUUCAAGAACAGAGGUGAGAGAUUUAAAAAUGGACAUCAAGGGCAACUUCAUGCAAAGAAUGAUGAGUAUUUGGAAUGAGCGUCUGGAAAUAGUGAUUGAGGUGAGCAUAUUGGCAGCAUUUUAAAAUGGGCAGAUGGGACUCAUUCUCUGGACAACACUGUUGAUAUGAACAAGUUAUGUCAAACAGCCUAUUUCCAUGCCGAGUGACUAUGGCUAUGAUUUAGUCAACUUUAUGUUACUGGGCACCAGAAAUUUCCUUAGCAACCAGCUACUACAACCAAUAUGGUUUGACCUAUUAUAAUUAGGGAGAGAUGGAAAUUAAGAAAACAAGUUUGGCAAAUUUAGUAUUUUUCUGAUUAUGCAACAAGCAGAGGAGGCAUAAAAGGCACUGGAUCAGCCUAGAUUUUAUUGAAUGGUGGAGACAGCUUCAUGAUCAUAAAGCCUACCAUAGUUCCUCUUUCUUCAGAGAGGUUAUUCACAAUUUUUCAAGACCAUGCAGCAACGGAGAAAAUACCCUAUCUUUCCAGGAUCACUACUUUUUUACAUAAAUUUUCCAUACUUUCCAAGAGAAGGAAGUCAUUCAGCACACACACUCAAUGUUAACUCUCAAACCGUGCCACAUUGUUGUAAUCAUUGAAAUGGAGCAAAUUUUAAUGACAAUAAACAUUGAAAAAUUUAACUGGUCAUCCAGACUCUUGGAGCAACUGUUAGUAACUCAAUCAAAUGAAUAGACCUCAGCUUUUGAGAGAAUGAACACUAAAGCAGAGCUGAGAACAUAGCUUGUAUACUAUGUUCAUCAAGUUCUAUUAUUUUUAUUUAUUUAGAGAUAGAGCACAGAACAAGCCUUUUCUGCCCAACUAAUCACGCCACCCAGCAACCCAUCUAUUUAACUCUAGCCUAAUCACAGGGCAAUAUACAAUGACCAAUUAACGAGUAUAUCUUUGGACUGUGGGAGGAAACCAGAUCACCUGGAUGAAAUCCAAGCUUUGCAGAACUUUCUCAAAGAUAAUUAUAAAGUUGGUGGAACCGUUCUGAGGUCAGGAUCCAUGUCCAUAUCUGCAGAAUUUAAUGUUGCCACUUCAGACAUAACACAAUAUUGUCCAGGCCUUUGCACAGUGAUACAGACUGCCUCAGUUUGAUCCAUGAUUAUGUGAAAUGCAAUCCUCGGCUGGAACUAUCAAUUACACCUUGACCACGUGCACUGAGAAAGUUUCUUGUCCUUGUCUCCUACUACUGAGGCUGUGGUAUGAUCUGCACCUACACUUUGACCAGAGUAUGCAGCUGGAAGCAAGCACCAAAACAGAAGGCUUGGCCUAUACUGUACAGCUGUAAACCAGAAGACAAGUCAUGGCAACUGAACAUUUAAUAAAGGAUCCCAGUGAUGAAUAACAGCUGUUAUUGCUGAGUCACCAAUUGGUUUGAGUACGAUAUUCAGGGAAUCGCCCCUAGGUCAAGUAUACUCAAUAAAUCCAAAAUAGAGUAAUAACCAUAACAGAAUAAAUGAAAGAUAGCACUGACUUGGGCAUUCCACCGCUGUGCAAAGGACAAUAAACUGCACAAAUACAAAAAGACAGAAAGAAUAACAAUAAAUAUUGAGAACAUGAGAUGAAGACUCCUUGAAAGUGAAACUGGAUUCACUCAUGAUCAACAGCAGACACCAUUUAUAACUAAAUGGCAUGACAUUGUUCUUGUGGAAGUUGAAAUCCAAUAUCUUUGACUCCUCCAUGCAACCAAAAUCAGACACAAAGAAGACAGUGACCUCUCCUUGCACUUACGUUGCUGUAGCAGUUUUCAUUUAAAAUCAGCUGGAACAGGUUUCUUCUCGGGCCGGGCAGCGUUUUCGGGGGUGCUUUUCGAGUCCACAGAAGUAACACUGCGCGGGCUUGCAACUGGCAGCAGCUGUAGUCUGGUUCGGGGAGUUCGUGGAAUCGCGACUGGCAGCAGCAUUGGCAAAUUCGCUCGCGGGAACCGGCGGCGGCGGAGUCUGAGGAGUCCACGAAACCAGCGGGGGAUCGCGCGGCUAGACAGCGUCAGCGUUGUGCAGAGCAUCCUCCAGGGUGUCGGCCGUCUCGAUCGCCGAGCGUAAGAAUAGCUCCUAUAGGUUUGAUGAUGGCAAAUGUAACCUCACCAUUCAAAAAAAGGACAAAAAAAAACACGGGGAACUACAUACCGUUUUAUUAAUCAUGGAGAAAAUGUAAGAGGAUUUAAUAAAUGAUGAAAUAGAAUGAAAUUUAGAAAGAACCAACAAUGUUAGACUAUCAAUAUUGAUUUUUGGAAGGGAAUUUCUGUAUGACAAAUCGAAUGGAGAUCUUUUCGAGGAUGUAACUGGUAGAAUAGUUUAGUGAAAACCAAUGGAUGUGGUGCAGCUAGAUUGUUAAAAAGCCUUUUUUUUCCACAAAGUCCAAUCAAAGGAUUAGUGAAAAAUUAAACCAAAUUCUUUUGAGGGCUAUGUAUUGACAUGUUGUAAAUUGGAAGGAGGAAGGUUCACAUUCAGAUUUAUUUAUCACACGUACAUGGAAACAUACACAUAUUCUGGCACCAACAUAGCAAGCCCACAAUGCUUGGCAGAAAAACACAGAACACAACAAACAACAUCAAAAAAACAGCAUAGCAACCCCCUUUCCUGUCUGCCACCCACCUGCACCUAUGGACAGUUCACCAACCCCAGGACAGACACUCGCAGUGAUGAAGUGCUUUGAGAGGAUGGUCAUGGUUAGAAUCCAGCAAGUACCUGGACCCUCUGCAAUUGCCUAUUCGCACAAUAGGUCUGCAGCAGACACAAUCUCAGUGGCUUUCCACAUGGCCUUGGAUCACCUGGACAACACAAACACCUACAUUCAUUGACUAUAGCUCAGCAUUUAACACCACCAUUCCUACAGUCCUGAUUGAAAAGCUACAGAACCUGGGCCUCUGUACCUCCCUCUGCAAUGGAUGAUUGACUUCUUAACCAGUAGACCACAAUCCGUGCAGAUUUGUAAUAACAUUUCCACCUCACUGACAAUCAAUACUGGCACACCUCAGGGAUGUGUGCUUAGCCCACUGCACUACUCUCUCUACACCCAUGACUGUAUGGCUAGGCAUAGCUCAAACUGCAUCUAUAAAUUUGAUGAUGAUAUAACUAUUAUCAGAAUCUCAGAUGGUGACAAGAGGGUGUGCAGGAGUGAGAUAUACCAACUAGUUGAGUGAUACUGUGGCGACCCAUUUCCUGGCGCAUCCGAACCGACUCACAAUUAGAUAGCCUACGGGGGUUUGCGAGCACAGAGCUUUGGAGCCUCUGCGCCAUGGGGGGCCGGUUGAGGGAGGCUUAAAAGUGAGGCUGAAGUUUUUGAAUAAAGUUUUUUCCUUCGACUGCA